rnacentral:lncRNA from 1 species
CCAACAUACAAAACAAUCUCCAUUGCUUCCUUGCUUUCAACAGAGUUUCUCUUUCUUUUGAUCUCGGAAAGGUUUUCAUCUUGUUUUUUCUUUGGAUCGAUUUCUUUUUGUUCGUUUCUCUUGUGCUUGCUACUCCGUAUUUGUAUUCCUGAGCAAAUUAUAAUCGGUUUCUUGGGUUCUAACCAAGUUUUUUCUCAUAAGAUAUUUUUAUUAUCUUUUUUUUCUUGGUUCAGUGCAAUCCUUUUCUUGUUGGAGUGCAUAAAGUAUGCUUCUUUCUUGGAAGUAACUAUUACUGUAGAAAGUAAUCUGCUGUUAUGGAUGUUGAUUUCCUGAAAUUUGACAGAAUUCAGAUUAUUAUUCUGCAGGUUGAGCCUUCGGUUGCUGUCAUCGAAGCGGGAAGGUGGUGGUUUUCAUGCCCGAAGACGGAUGCCCGACGACUAUAGCUUUGUAAUACGGAUUUCGUUAGGAGAUGCGGGCUGUUGCUGUUCUUUCUUGGAUUCGUUGAUGAGUGUCAUCCAGAUUCAGUCUGUUAGUAGAGGAUUCUGGUGUAAUACUGUUAAUUGUAUUUGUAUAUCAGUCAAGGUUUAGGGUCAACUUACGAGUUGACAAGUCGUUUUGAGGUUCAGACUCGAAUUCUAAUCGUGACUAAUCAAACACUAGUCGACAUUAAAUUGUAGUCAGUCGGCCCUAGAGUUAGUACUCAUGGACUGUCUUAACUUAUAAUCCAUGGUCUCGGUGCUCCGUGAGAUGCCGUUGUGAUAUGAUCUGUGAGGUGGCUGUAUACUUAAAUCUCAGCUUAACAUUGUCAAAUACAGUAUGUAAUGUUAAUUAUCUGUUCAUUUACUCUGUUCAUUCCAUUUCAAUAUUUACUCAUGAUAUGGGCAAACGUUUUCAAGUUCUAUGUGUUGUGCUGAAUCAUGAAAUCUGCCUUGAUUAUUUCAAAGUUAUUCUGGAAAUCCGUCUCUAAUUAUUUGAAAAAUAUUCUUUCAGAAUGAACUGUGGCUGAAAUG